UUUGUCCUACGGGGGGCAGCAGUGAGGAAUAUUGGUCAAUGGGCGGGAGCCUGAACCAGCCAAGUCGCGUGAAGGAAGAAGGUACUUAGUAUUGUAAACUUCUUUUGUCGGGGAACAAAGGCGGAGACGCGUCUCCGGAUGAGUGUACCCGAAGAAAAAGCAUCGGCUAACUCCGUGCCAGCAGCCGCGGUAAUACGGAGGAUCCGAGCGUUAUCCGGAUUUAUUGGGUUUAAAGGGAGCGUAGGUGGAUUGUUAAGUCAGUUGUGAAAGUUUGCGGCUCAACCGUAAAAUUGCAGUUGAAACUG
rnacentral:rRNA from 1 species